CUGGGAAGAAUAAAUGCCAAGAAUUUGAUGAAUCCCCUGGAAUUCUGGGCAUUUGCCAAAGCCCCAGUGCCCUUGGCCAGGCAGAGGCUGAACCCAGCACCUGUGUAACAGAUCUGUGCAGCUGGAGGUGUUUGCCAUGCCUGCUCCAUCUGUUCCACGUGCCACAGGUGUGCUGAUUUACCCUGGCUGAACUGGGAGCAAGAAGCCUUUAGAAUAAAAAAAACAAGAAGAGUUCCUGGCUGAAUGACUUA